UCUUUUUUUCAACUUUUCCUUUUGUUUCCUUCUACUUUCAAGUUCCAACAAUUGUAGUUGACUGUAACAAAAGAUCAUAAUUAGUUGGAAAUUGUUAUUGUCCACGGAAUUUUCUAUUCAGCACAUACAUUCAAGGAAGAUUAUCUUCCUUCAAUUUGGUUUGUGCUCAAUGCUCUCGUUCUAUAUUUUGGCAAACCAUGCUGAUUCUUUGUUAGAAUACACUGAGGACCAAGUUUUGUUGCAAUAUCAAGAUUCUUUUAAUUGUAUCAGUCACAUUUAUAUGUAAUUUACAAAUUAGGCUGAUAUGGAC
rnacentral:lncRNA from 1 species